GGGUUGUGAGGUUAAGCGACUAAGCGUACACGGUGGAUGCCCUGGCAGUCAGAGGCGAUGAAGGGCGUGCUAAUCUGCGAUAAGCGCCGGUAAGGUGAUAUGAACCGUUAUAACCGGCGAUACCCGAAUGGGGAAACCAGUGUGACUCGUCACACUAUCAUUAACUGAAUCCAUAGGUUAAUGAGGCGAACCGGGGGAACUGAAACAUCUAAGUACCCCGAGGAAAAGAAAUCAACCGAGAUUCCCCCAGUAGCGGCGAGCGAACGGGGAGGAGCCCAGAGCCUGAAUCAGCAUGUGUGUUAGUGGAAGCGUCUGGAAAGGCGCGCGAUACAGGGUGACAGCCCCGUACACAAAAGCGCAUGUGCUGUGAGCUCGAUGAGUAGGGCGGGACACGUGGUAUCCUGUCUGAAUAU
rnacentral:rRNA from 1 species